CUGGCUCAGGAUGAACGCUAGCGACAGGCUUAACACAUGCAAGUCGAGGGGCAUCACGGGAGUAGCAAUACAACUGGUGGCGACCGGCGCACGGGUGAGUAACGCGUAUGCAACCUACCUAUCAGAGGGGAAUAACCCGGCGAAAGUCGGACUAAUACCGCAUAAAACAGGGGCACCGCAUGGUGAUAUUUGUUAAAGAAAUUCGCUGAUAGAUGGGCAUGCGUUCCAUUAGGUAGUUGGUGAGGUAACGGCUCACCAAGCCGACGAUGGAUAGGGAACUGAGAGGUUGGUCCCCCACACUGGUACUGAGACACGGACCAGACUCCUACGGGAGGCAGCAGUGAGGAAUAUUGGUCAAUGGGCGGGAGCCUGAACCAGCCAAGUCGCGUGAAGGAAGAAGGAUCUAUGGUUCGUAAACUUCUUUUGCAGGGGAAUAAAGUGCAGGACGUGUCCUGUUUUGUAUGUACCCUGAGAAUAAGGAUCGGCUAACUCCGUGCCAGCCGCCGC
rnacentral:rRNA from 1 species